rnacentral:rRNA from 1 species
GACAGAGGGUGCAACCGUUGUUCGGAAUUACUGGGCGUAAAGCGCGUGUAGGCGGCUUUGCAAGUCGGAUGUGAAAUCCCACGGCUCAACCGUGGAAGUGCAUUCGAAACUGCAAGGCUAGAGUUCUGGAGAGGAAGGUGGAAUGCUUGGUGUAGAGGUGAAAUUCGUAGAUAUCAAGCGGAACACCGGUGGCGAAGGCGGCCUUCUGGACAGUAACUUACGCUGAGGCGCGAAAGCGUGGGGAGCAAACAGG